rnacentral:rRNA from 1 species
GAUGAACGCUGGCGGCGUGCCUAAUACAUGCAAGUCGAGCGAACAGACGAGGAGCUUGCUCCUCUGACGUUAGCGGCGGACGGGUGAGUAACACGUGGAUAACCUACCUAUAAGACUGGGAUAACUUCGGGAAACCGGAGCUAAUACCGGAUAAUAUAUUGAACCGCAUGGUUCAAUAGUGAAAGACGGUUUUGCUGUCACUUAUAGAUGGAUCCGCGCCGCAUUAGCUAGUUGGUAAGGUAACGGCUUACCAAGGCAACGAUGCGUAGCCGACCUGAGAGGGUGAUCGGCCCCACUGGAACUGAAACACGGUCCAGCCCACUACGGGAGGCAGCAGUGGGGAAUCUCCGGCAAUGGGCGAAAUCCUGACAGAGCAACGCCGCGUGGUUGAAGAAGGCUUUCGGAUCGUAAACCCUUUUUUUUGGGAAAAAAAAAAUGUUUAUUAAACUCCACCUGUUUUGACGGUACCUAAUAAAAAAGCCCCGGCUAACUACGUG